CUAAAAUGUAGGCAAAGAAAAGAAAAUUUCUAACGUUGUAGGGGAGCGUAAAAAAGGAAACUCAAAAUUUCGAACGUUGUUGAGAGCAGAGAAAAAGGCGAAAUAUUAGGAGAAAGCCUAUCAGGUUAAUAUAAACAAUUGUCUUUCAUUUACAGAGAUUGCUUCUUCGAAUGUUUGUUCUCUUCUGUCAGUGUUUUCUUCUUUUUUCUCAGUUAUCUCUUUCGUUAUAAUUUUUGUUUUUUAAGGAUUUUUUCAAUUGUGUAGGGUUUUGUACAGCGCGCUGGUCUGUCUGUUCAUGUUGUUGUUUCUGGUCUGUCUGUUUAUGUUGUUGUUUAUCUGUGAUUUCUUUGUUUUUAUUUUUCAUCUGUAGUUUCUUCUGUGUUUUUUUUGGGUUUUGGUUUAUUUAUGUAUUAGCAGAGGAAGAGGCUGAACAAAGGAAGCGACAACUGAUGGACGCAAAAUUCUUCUUCCAGAUAAGAUUCUCAGAAAAAUAGAAAAAUGCAGAAGAAUUGUCUGUGGGUUGAUAUAAUACAAAGAAGCUGAAAUCAAUGAAGUUGAUGCACUUGGUGCUGUUGGCAAGAUGAGGAAAAAAGAGACUCAGGUUGCACGAAAUUCAAGUAGAUAGUGAUGGCUCACAACCCCUCCCAGUGACCUCAAUGCAAAAUAUUGAAUCUUGUUGUAAAUUAUUACCAGCUUGUCGCUUUUGGAACAGGAAGGUUGCCAAGUAUUUUGAUAACAAGGAUCUCACUCAGCUAGUUAUUUUUCACCAUUAUGGAAGGAUCAAGCAUAUAGGAGUGAAGUUGUUGGUACGGAUUCAAAGCAGCAAGAGAUGUGAUUGGUCUCUUACCAUUUCUUUUAUAAUAUUUUGAUCAAUUACAUUGAUCUAGCUUUGUAACAUGUAAAAAAUACAAUAUCUAAUAAAAGAAAGUUAUUGGAAUGGGUUAAAAACCCCUUUCAAAGACUGAAGGGUGGUCAUUAGCCUUGGCCAUUCCUUAAAGUCGCUUAUUUUUUUGACAGCCUAAAGAAUGGUCAUUAGGCCAAGGCCAUUCUUUAAGGUCUGUCUCUUGUGUCCCUUGCAUUUUUUUGG